GAGUUUGAUUAUGGCUCAGGACAAACGCUGGCGGCGUGCAUAACACAUGCAAGUCGAACGAAAUCUACAUGAUUUAGUGGCGAACGGGUGAGUAACACGUGAGAAACCUGCCUUACACAGAGGGAUAGCCGUUGGAAACGACGAUUAAUACCUCAUGACACCGUGACAUCGCAUGAUGAUGCGGUCAAAGAUUUAUCGGUGUAAGAUGGUCUCGCGCCUGAUUAGCUGGUUGGUGGGGUAACGGCCUACCAAGGCGACGAUCAGUAGCCGAUCUGAGAGGGUGGACGGCCACAUUGGGACUGAGACACGGCCCAAACUCCUACGGGAGGCAGCAGUGGGGAAUUUUGCACAAUGGGGGGAACCCUGAUGCAGCGACGCCGCGUGAACGAAGAAGGCCUUCGGGUUGUAAAGUUCUGUCCUUGGUGAAGAUAAUGACA
rnacentral:rRNA from 1 species